rnacentral:lncRNA from 1 species
AACAUCCAACUUUGUAUUUUCACAGCAGUACAUGGAGUGGGACUGUGGGAUUUUAAAUGUAAUGAGAAAUACAAAGACUAAUUCCCAAAUAUCAAUAUCAAAACUUACUCCAGACUUUCAGAAACAAAGUGCAGGGAAAAAAAGGCUAAGCGAAAAUCCUGCAGUGGGAACAAAGCCUCCUGGAUGAAGAAUAACACAGAAAGUUUUCUUCCGAAGUGUUCUCAAAUCUUCUCCCAUGUGGCUAAAGCAGAUCCUUCAGCCUGCYGGCCUACGUUCUGUAAGAUGGAUGUGCUCUGUGUUCCCCCUCCUGCUUCCCACAUGGUGAAAACUGAUGAACCUUAGUGCUCUGUACCCCCCGGAUGGUAGAAGAUUAUUACAGUCUGGGUGCAAACCAGAAUCACCCUCUUAAGUCUCUAAUCUUUACGAGGUAAGCCUAUAUAUUUCUGCUUGCCUAGAAACAUGUAAUGAAAGAUCUGCGUCAUUUACAGUCAAUUUUAAUAAACUUUUUAUUUAUAUUUCGUCUAGUUAAGAA